UUUGAUGCAAACGCAAAGCAGAGUCAAC
rnacentral:piRNA from 1 species